rnacentral:lncRNA from 1 species
CCUCAGCAUGAGAAGUUUGCUGAUUUUCUCAGUUGUGUUGCCUGUGUUUUUUCUCUAAGCUUCAUGUUGCGAGUGAAAGCUGGAAACAGUCCUGCAUUGUUUUUCAUCCGUUUGCAACAAAAUUAUCAGGAUGAACAGAAGUAAUACUUGGGACUGUCAGCCAUUUUGUUAAAUGC